GACGAGCGCUGGCGGCGUGCUUAACACAUGCAAGUCGAACGGAAAGGCCCCUUUGGGGGUACUCGAGUGGCGAACGGGUGAGUAACACGUGAGUAACCUGCCCUUGACUUCGGGAUAACUUCAGGAAACUGGGGCUAAUACCGGAUAGGAAUCCUUGCUGCAUGGUGGGGGUUGGAAAGCUUCGGCGGUUUUGGAUGGACUCGCGGCUUAUCAGCUUGUUGGUGGGGUAGUGGCUUACCAAGGCUUUGACGGGUAGCCGGCCUGAGAGGGCGACCGGCCACAUUGGGACUGAGAUACGGCCCAGACUCCUACGGGAGGCAGCAGUGGGGAAUAUUGCACAAUGGGCGGAAGCCUGAUGCAGCAACGCCGCGUGCGGGAUGACGGCCUUCGGGUUGUAAACCGCUUUCAGCAGGGGCGAAGCUUGUGGUGACGGUACCUGCAGAAGAAGCACCGGCUAACUACGUG
rnacentral:rRNA from 1 species